rnacentral:lncRNA from 10 species
UGAAAAACACACAUUCCUGGCCAGGUGUGGUGGCCCACGCCUGUAACCCCAGCACUUUGGGAGGCCGAGGCAGGGGGGAUCACCUGAGGUCAGGAAUUUGAGACCAACCUGGCCAACAUGGUGAAACCCCAUCUCUACUAAAAGUACAAAAAUUAGCCAGGCAUGGUGGCAGGCACCUGAAAUCCCAGCUACUAGGGAGGCUGAGGCAGGAGAAUCACUUGAACCUGGGAGGCGGAGGUUGCAGUGAGCCGUGAUCACGCCAUUGCACUCCAGCCUGGGGGACAAGAGUGAGACUUCAUCUCAAAAAAAAUAAAAAAGAAAGAAAAACAUACAUUUUUUAGAACAUAAUGAGUUCUGAAAGCUGCUUUUCUGUGAGUAAUCUUUGAAAGCUUCUGCUAUUAAGAUCUAUAUAACACAGCUAUUUUGCUUUCAAUAAUCCAGGCAGUAAACUGUACAUUUGUGAUACUCUUAGGAUGUUUCUACCACAGGCCUUGGGCUUGUAAAUAUAUUUAAUUUGCAUCAGUAGAUUUCCUUGGCUAAAAGUAUUUUCAAUAACUGUUAUGCUUCACCUGCCAAGUUCACAAUCCUUGAAACCAUUUCAUGAAAAGUAUUUUCCUAUUGGUAAAGCUUUUAUUCUCCUAUCCAAAUUCUACAGGAGGUUUAAAUAAAAUUGUGGCUGGGCAUGGUGGCUCACGCCUAUAAUCCCAGCACUCUGGGAGGCUGAAGCGGGCAGAUCACAAGGUCAGGAGUUAGAGACCUGCCUGACCAACAUGGUGAAACCCUGUUUCUACUAAAAAUACAACAAUUUAGCUGGACAAGUGGCACACACCUGUAGUCCCAGCUACUCAGGAGGCUGAGGUGGGAGGAUGGCUUGAACUGGGGAGGCAGAGGUUGUAGUGAGCUGAGAUUGUGCCACUGCACUCCAGCCUGAGCGACACAGCAAGACUCUGUCUCAAAAAAAAAGUGAACUUUUGGAGAUAUUUUCUGAAGUAAAAUAAUUACCUUUUUAUAUUCCAAAUGGCCUAGAGUGUUAUUUAGAGACACUAAGAUUUGCUGUUGUUUGUAAUCUACCUUCCUGGGAUCUGCAAAUAAAAGUUAUUUCCCUAUUUCUGCUAAUUCCUUUAGGCAAACUCUCUACUUCUUUAUGUUAAAGAGCCAACCUGGUGGACUUUCAGAUCUCUGCACACUUAGUUAGACAAAGUUACAUGGUUAUUACAGCUUUCACUCUUCCUGAUUGAAACUAUCAUGAUACGGCUGGGCGUGGUGGCUCACACGUAUAAUCCCAGCACUUUGGGAGGCCAAGGCAGGUGGAUCACCUGAGGUUGGGAGUUUGAAACCAGCCUGACAAACAUGGAGAAACCCCAUCUCUACUAAAAAUACAAAAAAAAAAAAAAAAAAAAAUUAGCUAGGUAAAGUGGCGCAUGCCUGUAAUCCCAGCUACUUGGGAGGCUAGAGCAGGAGAAUCACUUGAACCCAGGAGGGAGAGGUUGCGGUGAGCUGACAUCAUGCCAUUACACUCCAGCCUAGGCAACAAGAGCGAAACUCCUUCUCAAAAAAAAAAAAAAAAAAGAAACUAUUACCAUAGGUCUCAGAUUUCUUGCCCUUAAUGUGAGAAUGGGGAUAUUCCAUGGAUAAAAUAAUGAAGUACUUGAGGAGGUGGAGGGAAGAGCCAACCGAGAAGUAUUUUUAAUAAUUUGAAACAUUCUAAGGUAUUUCUAGAUACUUGGAGUGAGAUACUAAAAGACUUUUCUUAGAAGAUUAUACCACUUGAUCCAAUUUGAACCAAAUUCAACUAAAGAAAUUAGCCAUAUAGAUAUACUUUUUGUUGUUGUUUCAGACAGAGUCUCGCUCUGUUGCCCAGGCUGGAGGGCAGUGGCAUGAUCUCGGCUCACUGCAACCUCUGCCUACUAGGUUCAAGCGAUCCUCCUGCCCCCCAAUAGCUGGGAUUACAGGCAUGCACCACCAUGCCCAGCUAAUUUUUGUAUUUUUAGUAGAGACAGAGUUUCGCUAUGUUGGCCAGGCUGGUCUCAAACUCCUGACCUUGUGAUCCACCCGCCUUGGUCUCCCAAAGUGCUGGGAUUACAGGUGUGAGUCACAGCUCCCGGCCUAGCCUUUUGACAUUUAAAAAUUCAACUUUGAUUUGACUGGCCUGAGUUAUGCCUGAGUUAAUUUUUUUUAUCUUAAAGAAAACUAGCUCAGAAGCUCUUCAUUAGCUAUAAUUCUAUCAUGCAAUAAUGCAUCUGACUCCCAAAAAGCAAUUCUAGUAAAAUUUAUAAUAAAUUUGGACAAAACUCAUUUUUGGAAAAUACUCUAGAAAUCUCUCAGUAGUGCUUUACCAUAGAACACUCAGAACCUCUCAACUCUUUAUUACCUGUCUGCCCCAUAAUUGGAACAAAUAAUAGUAUCAGGUAUUGUAAUGUUAGGCUGUUGCCUCUUGGCUCCUGUGAUUCCCUAGCGUCCCGUCCUGGAUGUCCUUUAUGUGUACAGUGCUACUACUGGGUGCCAUGGACAGCGUCAGGACACAUUCUGACCUUCCUGAGUGCAUCACCGUGAGGCCAAAUAGGCUGCUCUCUCUCCAGUGAAAUUCCUUCCCCUGUCUCUCUUUAGGCAGUCAUCUUCAUCUAUGCAUUAGUGGUGUCUCUGUUCACCGUACUUCUUAUAAACUGAAGUACAGCCUUAUCUUCUGAAAAAAUACUCUCAUGUCUUUGUGGACUCAGGUAUAAAAUCAAUAUUUAAUUUAGCUAGUGAUUAAACCUUUUUAAAACCAACUGAAAAAUGUUUAGAAUUCACUUGCUUGUGAGCUGUCAUUGGUUAAUAUUGGUUCCAAGGUUUGGGGAAUGAAUUUGAGAAAGGCUUUUUCUCAAACCUUUAGGGCUCAAAGGCUAAAACAAAACAAAACAAAAAUAAACAGGUGCAUCCAAGGUCUAAUUUCAAAGCAAGAUUUAUUGCUUUACAAGCAAACAUUAUACUUGGUCUUAAUAGAAAAAUGAUAUCAGAUACACUCAGAAUACAGUUCACAUUGGGAUAGCUGCCAGUUCAGCACAAAACAUACAUUAUUAGGAGCAGGGAGGCAUGAAAAUAAACUAUAUCUUACUCUUUGGUACAUCAGGAACACUUUUGCCUGAAGUAAGCCCUUUGGCACUUUUUUAAAAUUUAUUUUUUUAAUCCACCCAUCCGCACACUGGCCCUUUUGUACACUUUGUUUGUUUUUGAGACGGAGUUUUGCUCUUGUUGCCCAGGCUGGCGCGAUCUCGGCUCACCACAACCUCUGCCUCCUGGGUUCAAGUGAUUCUCCUGCCUCAGCCUCCCUCAGCUGGGAUUACAGGCAUGUGCCACCACACCCGGCUAAUUUUUGUAUUUUUAGUAGAGACAGGGUUUUUCCAUGUUGGUCAGCCUGGUCUCGAACUCCGGACCUCAGGUGAUCCACCCGCCUCGGCCUCUCAAAGUGCUGGGAUUACAGGUGUGAGCCACCGCGCCCGGCUUGGUACUUUUUAAGUGUAAAAUUUUAAUCCUUGUCCUGGGCUUUGACCCUUGUGUUUGAUCUAAAUGACGUUUCAUAGGUAAAUGUCUUUUGACUAGUGCGCUUACUGUUAUGUG